CUUUUUUACCACAGUAUAUUUAUCAGCAAGUGAACAUAAAAACGCCUCUUCCAGUCAGAAACUGGCCAAUCCUGACCCCCGGUCCAUCUAGGGCUCCGCCCACCGCCGAGGAUAAGCCAAUCUCUUUGAGGCUUGUACAGGAGAACGCCGUGCGUUUGAGCUUGAACAUGAUAAGCCUGGCAGAAGCCUGAUGAACCCAGAAUGAGUGAGAUGUGGAUCCUGAAGUAGGAAAUCUAUGAAAAAAAUGACAAGACUCUGAAGAAUUAACUCGCCAGGAGGGACUCAACUGGAGGCUUGAAUCUGACCUGGAGACUGAGAACCCUUGAAUAGAUGAAGACAGUAUCUUUUUUUUUUAAAUCUAUUUGUUUGGUUGCUUUUUGGGGACUAAGAAGUUUUUAAAUUGCCCUGAUAUCUACAAGGCUGUCACAGGGAAAGAUGAUGACUGGAGAAUACCUACACUACAGUAGAUAAAAAGGCGGUGGCUUCCUAGGCUGCAGAGAACAAGUCCUUUCUAGCAGUGGCUCAGGACCACUGUUUUGAAAAGUCUAAUUAAUUUGCUUCUCUGACCUUGAUUGCUACCUUUAAAAGAAGCUUUAAAGCCUGCUUGGUCUCCUAAACUUGCCAAGCCCUGCUGCCUGGGUCUAGUCAGCAAUCUUGCUCUGCCCAGACCUCUUACUGUCUGACCACAGGGCUUAGCUAACCCCAUUUGUGUCACACCCCACUGCUAUGCCUCCUUUGGAAAGGCCUAUUUAAGAAGUAGCUCCCUAUAUAAAUGGAAGGACAUUAAAGACUCUUAAUGGAGUAAACACCCAGGAGAUAAGGAAUCAAGGGUGGAGGGGUUGGUCUUGGACAUGGUAAAUGUAGAGAUAGAGACUAUCUAGACAGAAAGGUUAAACUUAAUAGUCUUCAUUCUACAAAGUAUGAUGCAAAUUCCUUUUAAAGAGGAACUGUGAAUUGUAUAGUAUGUGAAUUAUCUUUCAAUAAAGCUAUUUUUAAAAAGCA